rnacentral:lncRNA from 1 species
CGAAUUCUCUUUAUUAUUCUUGCCCUAAUGUCUUAGUGACAGAACCUUUAAUUCCAAAGUAACCCCUAAUUCCUUAGUAGAUUUAAGAUUAGAAUUAAGCAUUACCGUAUAGAAAUUCUUUUGUAAAUUAUUGCUUUGCAACUAAUUUAAUUGGUUUCAUGACCUGCACCUAUGUCUAGACUACAAAUUCAUGAAUUUCUCAUCUCAAGCAUCCGUAAAGUCCACUUCUGUUUCAAAAUACAAAUCGUAGAACAUUUUAAUGUUGAUCAAGCAAUAAAAAGCAUUAAGCACAGAGAUGAGAAAAAUAAUUCAAUAAAC